UUUUGCUGUGAAUUACUAUCUGAUUCUUUUUAUAGAACUGUAUUCGGAUAUGUGGAUUGUAGAUUUGCUUAGCUGUGAUUGAGAUGCUUUCUUCUGGAUUUCAAGAAAACGCGGAGUUUGUUCUUCUUAUGACGAUGAUCUUUGAAGCUAAUAUAAUUUUGAACCGCUCGUGAUCCUUUCUUUCAAAUCAAUAACUUUAAAAAUUGUUAUUAGGUUGCUCAGGGAAAAGAACGAACAUAUGAACGGAGUGUUAUUCAUUGUUUGCUGGAUUGGAAUUAUGAUUUUCUCUGCUUAAGUAUGGCGAGUUUUCUUGGAUGGUCUGUUAGCUGGAUUGAAGAUCCUUUUUGUUCUGGAAGUUUGGUUGAGCUUUUCUAAUUUGAUGAUCUGUUCUGUUACGGUUCUGUGUUUCUGUUACGGUUGUGUGUUGUUGAACAUGGCCUUUUUUUUCACGGAACUGUUUUCUUGAUUGUUCAGGCGAGAUCUUGAUUGUGAACGCUAGCUUUUUGUCGGUGAUUGGAGGAUGAAUUCUGCUUCUUCCUAAAUCCGAAAAAACUGAGAACUCUCUUUACACCCUGCUUUUCCUGAAACUACUAUUCUUGAAAUAUUGUUCUUAUGUAUAGAGAUUUAGCUACGGUUUUGCUUGUUGAAUAUGGCUUUUCUUUCACGGGACUGUUUUCCUGAUUAUUCAGGCGAGAUGUAGAAUCUGAACGCAUGCUUUCUGUUGGGGAUUGGAGGAUGGAUUCUGCUUUUGCCUGGAUCAGAAGAAACCGAGAACCCUUUUACCCUUGCUUUUUUAUUCCUGAACCUUCUUUUCUUCGACUGUUCUUAUCAUCAUUAUGUGGAGGGAUUCAGCUUCGGUUUUGCUUGCUUUGCAGUGCAUUUAGGAGGUUGGAGAGUUGUAGAUAGGAGAUAUUGGAAGAAUUUACUGCUAUAAUCGACACGGACGACAAGAUAUCUAAUUCCUUAAAACAGAACAGAUUCUUUACUUUUAUCCGUUUUUUAAGAUUCAAUUAUAAAUUAUAAAUCAUGCAUGUGAAGUAAAAUGUGAAUUAUAUUCUAUGCAGCGUUGGUACACCUUGAAGCGUGGUUGAGUGCGACACAUGCGGAGGAUAGAGAACAAGAACAGUUUUUCUAAAUUUUCUUUCCCUGCAUUUUCUUUUCCAACCUACUGUGUUAGCAUUGUGAAUUAAAUGUGGAUGUGUUUCCUAUGCAGUGUUAUCUGAUAUUGUUACCCGCUGGUGUUGAGUGCAUCCUGGUCGAUAUGUUUCUUGCACUUGCCUGGUUCAUUUGUUUAAGUUUUGCUGCUUUUUUUUUAAUAUUAUUUAAAUAAUUGGCUGCUUUGGUUCUUUGUUGUUUUCUUCAUAAUUCUGUCUUUCUUGGAAAUCGGUUUAUGUUUCUCUUUUUCUCUUUAGGAGCCAAUUGAAGGAUAUGGGAUUGCACUUAGGCGAUGUGUCCAAGAUUCCGAAAUUGAUAAUUCCCUCCUAACAUAUGCAUCAAUUUUUUUAGUAAUAAAUAGUAGUUUGAUUACGGAGUUAUCUUGUUUGUGUCCUGUAAUGCUUUAAAUUGGUUGCAGAAGUCUGGAAUAAUGGAUAGAAGAUAUAUGGCGGGAAGGCUCAAAAUAAUACAAGCAUCAUAAUCUGAUCAACUUCUUUUUUAACUAUCUUGUGUUAAUGGUCGUGCAAAAUUCAAUUUGAACUUGGUUCUCUUGCAGUGUUUUCGUUUUGGUCGAGUAACAUUGUCUAGCUGGUGACGUCUGUACCUGGAGUUUGGACGCACUGGAUUUCUUGUCUCUCGUCUCUUGUUUUUUUUUUUUUUAAUUUUUUUUCGCUAGUUCAUAUGCAUAAGUAUGCAGAUAUCAAUUGAAUUUCAUCUGUUCAUUUGCAGUGUUGUCUUCCAAUCAUACUUUUGGCAACGGCAUUCAUGUAUAAUGGUGACUUCUAACUGGCUUUAGUGUUCUCUGUGUUUAACGGCUUGUUCCUGUGCAUUACAUUUCUUCGAUGUUCUUCCAUAUUGCUUGGGCAGGAGUGUUUUUUGAUCUGUUUUUCCUGUGAAUUUAUAUCUAGUCGUUUAUAGAACUGUUCUUGGAUUUGUGGAUUUUGGAUUGCUUAGCUGCUGAUCAAAAUGCUUCUUUCUGGAUUCGAUAAUUUUAGGAAUAGUUACAGUUUCACAGGGAAAAGAACUGGCUAUGAACAUAUGGACAGGGUGCCAUUCUUGUUUGUCGGAUUGGAACUAUGAUUUUCUCUCGUCAGGUGUAGCGAAUUAUGUGGAUGAUGUGUUAGCUUCAUUUAAGAUCUUUCCUGGAAUUUUGGUUGAGCUUUUCUAAUUUGAUGAUCUGGUUCAGUGAUAGUGUUGUUUGAACAUGGAUUUUCUUUCACGCAGCUGUUCUGUUGAUUGUUAAUUCGACAUUAUCUGGAUUAUGAAUGCUCGCUUUUUUGUUGGUGUUUGGAGGAUGAAUUCUACUUUUGCCCAGAUCUGAAGAAACUAAGAACUCUCUGAAUCCUUGCUUUUCCUGAAAAUUUUCCUAUUCUGUACUAUUUAUUCCUGGAGAUUUAGGUUUGCUUGUUUUUGCUUGGUUUGCAGUGUAUUUGGGAGAUUGGGGAUUGUAGAUCAGAAGAAUAUUAUGCAAGACAGGAGGACCAUAUAUCUAAUUCUAUAAAAGCAAUCUGAUUCUCUAUACAUUUUAUUUCCUUGAUCAUUUAACUACGUAUUUAUGAAGCAUGCAUUGUGAAUUAAAAUGUAGUUUAUAUUCUUUGCAGCAUUGUAGCCGGGUUGUUGAGCACAAUGCAUACAGUGGAUGGAAUCUAGUUUCCUAAAACAGUUUCUCCAAACUCUUCUUUCCUUUUUGUUCAUUCCCGCCUACUGUGGUAGCAGCAUUUGAAAUAAAUGUCUUUAUGGUUUCCCGUGCAGUUCUUUGUCCGAUCAUGGGUGUUGAGUGCAUCCUGGUGAUAAGCUUUUGCACUUGCCUGGUUCAUUUGUUUAAUUUGUGUUUUUUUUUUGUUUUUAAUUUAAAAUUUGCUACUUUGUGUUGUUUCCUUCGUUAUUCUCUCCUGCUUGGAAAUCGGUUUUUGUUUCUCUAUUCAUUAGGAACCAAUUGAAGGGUAUGGGAUUGCACCGAGACUGUAUUCAAGAUUCCGAGAUUGAUAUGUCCUUGUUCUAUUAUUCUUUUUUCUUUCUGCCCCCUAAAUAUUAUAAAAAUAACUUUAUAUAGUCAUUUCACGUUGUUUAUGACCUCCAAUGCUUUUCAUUGGUUGCAGCGAUUUAAAAUUUUGGAUUAGAAGAUAUAAUUUGAAAAAGAAGCUCUGCAACAAUAAUACAGGCUCAGGAUCAUGGAUUAAACUUGUCUUGUUUAUUGAAUUUUUCUGCCAUAUUUAUUUUCUAGCAUUAAUGGUUUAUUCCAAGUUCAAUUUGAACCUGUUUUCUUGCAGUGUUAUGUUCGUUGAGUUGGUCGAGUAACAUUGUCCGUGUAAUCGUUAGUUGUGGAGUUGGUGACUUCUACCUGGAGUUUGAAUGCCCUAGAUCUUUUCUUUUCUCUCUCCUGUUACAAUUCCUGUUCCUUUGCAGUGUUGUCUUCCGGUCGAUACUUUUGUCUACGAUAUUCAUAUGGUGACUUCUAACUCGGUAUAGCAGUUUGUGUUUUGUUCUUCAUGAUUUUGACUGUUAGCUUUGAGAAUGAUGAUAGGCCGUUCCCUCAUCCUAGUUGUGGACACUCAAGAUAGGAGAGUAAGCGUUUAAUGAGCUGUUUAAUGAGCUCUUAUUGGUCGUCAUAUACCAUAUAGACUGUAUCAUAUAUAGUCAAUUUAUUCAAUCACACGAAUCGUAUGGUUGUUUAUGCUUCCAGUUAUCUCCGAGCAGGAUCACAUGGUGCAUCAGUUGUGGGGGGUUAUUAGUUCUCAGUCUCACUAAUAAGGAUAAGAGGAUUUGAUUUUAGUUCAAACAUUUUUGGUUGGUGUUUUCUCUCUAGAUGAGGUAUUGGAAUUGAAUCGUGAACAUGCUUUUUGUGCAGUUAAACCACGGAGUGUAUUGGAGAUUAACUUCGGGGAUUCAGGAGCAAGAUUUUGUCUGCACAAUUUUCUCACCUUAUGUUUUGGUUUGAUCUGGUCUUCAUCAGUUUGGCAAGUUGUUUCUUUUGUUUAUUUUCAGCUUUCUGCAUACGUGUUUGCCAUAAUUUGGCACGUUACCCUAAUUGGAGAAUUUUGCUUGAACGCUGUGAGGGGUCUGAAUUAUGUUAGAACUUUUGGAUUGUUGUGCUGGCCUUACAUCUGUUCUUGCAUGUGAAAUAUUGAAGGAUUUUGUUUAGGUUUUAACUUGAUUUUACUUUACUUCUAAGGGAAAACUGUAACCAUGAUGGCUUGAUUUCACUUUCUGUUGGGGAAAUUGCAACUAUGAUUUUGUUUUGUGCGCACAUAACUAUAAACUUCUUUUUGGUUCAUCUCUGUCACUCUUCAUGUUGAGUAGUGUUUGGCAGCAUCUGGAAUUUGCAAGUCGACUUUGAAAUAUUGAAGGACUUCUUCUUGGAUGGUUUAACUAGGAUUUUGUACUUAAAUGAGCGACUUCUGAAUGGUUUUCAAAUUUUCUUCGAAUAGUUUUUAAAGCUUCAUGUGUGGGAUUUCAACUUAAUAUUGUCUUUUGUUCUACGUUUGGCUCUUCUAUAUUCCACAGGAUCAGUGAUUUGUAUUUGGACUUGGGUAUUGAAGGACCUAAGCAUAACUGGUGGGUGGUGGCUGGUGGCUGGUUUUUCCUGGAUCUUCACCUUAAUCUCUUUCCUUUUUCCUACCGUUCAGUGUCUUAUGUUUGUGAGGAGCUGGGAUUGCAAUUGGACUUUCCACGGGUUUUGCAAACCUUCAACCUAAACAUCACUUUGGAGUAAUGAAAGAUUUAAGUAUAAUUGGGACAGGUUUUUAACAUCUGCUGCUGCUUUGUUUGGAUUUUCAAAAUUUUUCUCUUUCGUCUGGCAGGAUAAGGGAUUUGUAAUUCGGCUUUUGGGUGUUGAGGACGCAAGUAUAACUGAUGACUUUUAACUGGUUAUUAAAUUUUUUUGUUUGUGGAUUUUCACCAUGAUCUCUUACAUUCUUCUACGGUUCAGCGUCUUAUGUUUGGCAGGAUCUGGGGUUCAAUCUUGAGUAUGUUGGAUUUAAAGUAACUGGGACUGGUUUUUAAAGCUUCAUUGUUUGGGUCUUCAACUUAAUUUUUCUCUUCCAUUUUUCUCUGUUUGACUUUCACAUUCAGCAGGUUUAGGGAUUCAUAAUUGAAUUGGAAUUUCCCUCUUCCGUUCUUAUACGUUUGGCCAAUAUAUUCAGCAGGUUUAGGUGUUGAAGGAUCCAAGUGUAACUGGUUACUUCUAAUUGGUUAUUAAAAACAUUUUCUUUUGAGUUUUCACCUCUCUCUUCCGUUCUUCUGUGGGCUCAGUGUGUCUUAUGUUUGGCAGGGAUUUGCAAUUGCAAUUUAAAUGGUUCAACUUGACAUCACUUUCGAGUAUUGAAGGAGUUGAAUAUAACUGCCGGGUUUUUAAAGCUUCUGUUUGGAUCUUUUUUAAGGCUUUUUCUUUCUUUGGAUUUUUCAACUUUAAGACUUUUCUCUUUUGCUCUUCUACAUUUGGAUCAUAUAUUAAGCAGGAUCUGGGUUCGGUAAUUGGACUUUGUUCUUGAAGGACCCAAGUAUAACUGGUGACUUCUAACUGGUUAUUACAUUUUCUCUGUAUUUUCACCUUAAUCUUGUCCCUUCUUCUAGUUAUAUUUGGCAGGAUCUGGGAUUUGCUUUUGGAUUUUAAAGUUCAACUUGACAUCUCUUUCUACUUUUUAUGGGUUUUAAAUAUCAGCUUACCAUUUCACUUUAACUUGGCAUCUCUCUCACUUUCUAUGGGUUUUAAAUAUUCCGUUUACCAUCACUUCGGAGUAGUGAAAGAUUUACAGUACAACUGGUGACUUCUAUCCAACAAACACCACACACAACAAACAAAAGAACACACUAGAACCACUCACGUCUAUUCUACUCUUCUACAUCUGUGAAGCGCCGCUUUUCUGCUUAUUGAUUGCAUGUCUGUUUUGUCUGGGUUACUUUUGCAUUUAUUUUGAAUGCAGGAUCUUAAGGUGGUCAGAUACACCCGGUUAGACAUGGUUAUUUGUUAGGUGUUAUGAUUAUAUGCUUCUUUGUUUGAAGAUCUCUACUAUUCAAUUCUUUAUGUGAUUUGUCAAGUUAGUAGAAUUCUUUGUGAAAAUACCUCUCAAAUUUCAUAAUGUAGGUUAGCACAGCAAGUAUGAAGUUUGAAAUGUAAAUGAUGCCUUAUUCAUCUAUAUUACUUUUCCUCCUCAGGGGACUUGAUUGCCUCUUAACUUUGCAUGGAAUUUUGUUGUAGCCUCAGGUGAAUCUCGGUGAGGGAAUGUUCUUGUUGCUAGGGAUUUGGAUAUUACUGUGGUAGCAAAGGGUUCAGGAAUUUUAUUUAUUUAAUUCAUGGUGAAUUACGAAGUUUGUUUUUUUAUUGAGGUUUACCAUCAUUUUGCGAACUUGCUUUUCCGCAGUUCGCGAACCCCAUUUUUGGCUGAUUUCAAUCUUGGGGGAACGGAAGAUCACAGGUGUUCAGGAGUUGGUAGCUGUUUCUGAAAUCUGAGCUCUUCUGAUGCAUUCUGUAAUUUUUCUCGUUCGGGAGAACUGUGGUCUAACUUCUGUGCAGUUCGAGCGAGUACUCUGGCAUGCGGAGAAAAGGGGUGUUCAGGGAAUGGCUGGGGUGAUUGGUGGUUCUACAGCAGUUAUGGUGUUUUCUUUGUUCUGGAAGCAGGAUAAUUGGUUUUAAUUCUUGUCUGUUGUCGCGCAUCUAUAUUAUUUGAUAUCUGCAGUCUGGUGAAGAUAUUUUCCCUGUGCAAAUGUAGUGGUUUCUGUAGUAUGCCAUGGUUCAAGAACAUCCCUCAUCUUCUCUAGCAAAAGAAGUAAAAGCAGAACGAUGUUUUGAGGUCUGCAUUUUCUGCUCUUUCACUUUCGUCUUUGAAAGCUGUUUCAUUUUCGUGGGUUUGUUUAUAAAAUUUGUUUCUGUGGCCCUUGUAAGUAGCUCUUCUGUUUGUUUAUUCUCAACUUCUGACACACUACAGAAUGGUUGGUGCUAUUGGGUGGUUGUUACAACUUACAAGUUAAGUUCUAUGUCUUUGAAGCAGCAUUCUUGUGCAGUUUUCUCUCGCAGCUUUGCAGUAAACUUUAUGUGCAUCUGCUAUUCCAGUGAUUUUUUGUGAUUUGGAUUUUUAUUUGGAUCUGGAUGGGUGGUAGUGUCGCCAUGCAGUUUGUUAUGUGAUCUUUAGGCCAAUUUUAUACGUUCCUGAUGGUUUCUUUUGUGGGGUAUGCGCUGAUGUGCAUUGUUUAAUUUUGAAUGGGUAUUAGGAAGGUAUUUCGGAGGCUAUGAUCAGUGCUAAAAUAAAGGCCAUGUACGUGUUGUGUUGGUUCCAACAAUAUAUGACUGGUAGAAUGGUGGUGUUGAUGUUUAUGCUUUGUUCAACUAUUGUUCAGUAACUUUGGUUUUAGUUCGUUGCUUUUUGGGAUGCUUGGUGAGCUUUUGAUUUUUGAAGGUCGGUUUUUCGUAACCAACAUUAUCGAAGACUAUUGAUGGUUCAGUUCUGUUGCUUAGCUGCUUUGGUGUAUUAACAUAACUCCGUUAUUUUGUCGUCCUUGUGUAUAUGCAUGCUGAUCUAUUCAAAUGGUAUAUAUUCUUGCACGCCGAACUUGAAAGAGUUGCUAUUUCGAUUAUGUUCUUACCUAAUAAAAUGCGUCCGGGUUAUUGCUUUACAUUGCUUCUUAUUCCAAUGUUUUUAAGUAGAGUGGGAUAUAUGUUGUGUUCGUGUGUAUAGGAUAUGUUUCAGGUAUUUAAUCGGAGCGGCAUCAUGGAGAGGAAGAUUUGCCUAAUAGCCAAGAAAAAUGGUUUAGUCUUUAUGAUUGUAUUCUCUUUACUGUUUUCUCUUUUCUGAUUUCACUGUGUAUUGCAAAGAUUGUACUGUGGAUUCUUAUAGUGGAAUGCCUUUAUUAUUGUUCCCGUGGAUGUAGGUCAUUUGGCCGAACCACGUAAAUUCCUUGGUCUCCUUUCCCUACUAUUUCCCUACUACUGGACUAAUUAUUUUAUGCGUUUCGGUGGCUCUGAGCUUUAGUCAAAUAGGAAUCAAAAUCGAACAAUGAUCGUAAAUUCGUAGUUGAUUCCAGAAAUGCACAAUGCAUUACCGAAUUAAUACUGGUCUAAACUAAGAGAGAAUCUUUAUGGCAUUAAAAGUGUGGCUAAAAUACCACAUAAGAAGUAAGCCAGUCAAACUAAUUAAUUUCUAUGAGCUCAUGUUCUUCGCUUCUAUGAAUAUUUGCUUUAAUCUUUUUCCCUUCGUGUGGUUUUCUAUGGUUUCUGAUUUCAAGAUAUCAUUCAGGAUCGAGAAGAUUCGAUAUCUUUUUGCUGUGAAUUACUAUCUGAUUCCUUUUAUAGAACUGUAUUCGGAUAUGUGGAUUGUGGAUUUGCUUAGCUGCUGAUUGAGAUGCUUUCUUCUGGAUUUCAAUAAAACGAGGAGUUUGUUCUUCAUGAUGAUCUUUGAGAACCACUUGUGAUCCUUUCUUUCAAAUCAAUAACCUUGAAAAUUGUUAUUAGGUUGCUCAGGGAAAAGAACGAACAUAUGAAUGGAGUGUUAUUCAUUAUUUGCUGGAUUGGAAUUAUGAUUUUCUCUGCUUAAGUAUGGCGAGUUUUCUUGGAUGGUCUGUUAGCUGGAUUGAAGAUCCUGGAAGUUUGGUUGAGCUUUUGUAAUUUGAUGAUCUGUUCUGUUACAGUUCUGUGUUGAUUGAGCUUUUCUAAUUUGAUGAUCUGGAACUGUUUUCUUGAUUGUUCAGGCGAGAUCUUGAUUGUGAACGCUAGCUUUUUGUGGGUUAUUGGAGGAUGAAUUCUGCUUCUUCCUAAAUCCGAAAAAACUGAGAACUCUCUUUACACCCUGCUUUUUCUGAAACUUCUAUUCUUGAACUAUUAUUCUUUAUGUAUAGAGAUUUAGCUACGGUUUUGGUUGUUGAACAUGGCUUUUCUUUCACCGGACUGUUUUCCUGAUUAUUCAGGCGAGAUGUAGAAUGUGAACGUUUGCUUGUUGGGUGAUUGGAGGAUGGAUUCUGCUUUUGCCCGGAUCAGAAGAAACCGAGAACUUUUUACCCUUGCUUUUUUUUUCCCCUGAAACUUCUUUUCUUCGACUGUUCUUAUCAUCAUUAUGUAGAGGGAUUCAGCUUCGGUUUUGCUUGCUUUGCAGUGCAUUUGGGAGGUUGAGAUUUGUAGACCGGAGGUAUUGGAAGAAUUUACUGCUAUAAUCGACAGGGACGACUAGAUAUCUAAUUCCUUAAAACAGAACAGAUUCUUUACUUUUAUCCGUUUUUUAAGAUUCAAUUAUAAAUUAUAAAUCAUGCAUGUGAAUUAAAAUGUGUAUUAUAUUCUAUGCAGCAUUGUCCACCUUGAAGCGUGGUUUUGAGUGCGACACAUACGGAGGAUAGAGAACAAGAACAGUUUUUUUAACUUUCUUUCCCUGCAUUUUCUUUCCCAACCUACUGUGCCAGCAUUGUGAAUUAAAUGUGGAUGUGUUCCUAUGCAGUGUUGUCUGAUAUUGUUACCCGCGGGUGUUUAGUGCUUCCUGGUCGAUAUGUUUCUUGCACUUGCCUGGUUCAUUUGUUUAAGUUUUGUUUUUUUUUUUUUUUUUUUUUUUAUUUAAAUAAUUGAUUGCUUUGGUUCCUUGUUCUUUUCAUAAUUCUGUCUUUCCUGGAAAUCGGUUUAUGUUUCUCUUUUUUGCCUUAGGAGCCAAUUGAAGGACAUGGGAUUGCACUUUGGCGAUGUGUCCAAGAUUCCGAAAUUGAUAAUUCCCUCGUAACAUAUGCAUGAACUCUUUUAGUAUUAAAUAAUAGUUUGAUUACGUUGUUCUCUUGUUUAUGUCAUGCAAUGCUUUAAAUUGGUUGCAGAAAUCUGGAAUAAUGGAUAGAAGAUAUAUGGCAGGAGGGCUCAAAAUAAUACAAGCAUCAUAAUCUGAUUAACUUCUCUUUUUCAACUAUCUUGUGUUAAUGGUCGUGCAUCAAUUUGAACUUGGUUCUCUUGCAGUGUUAUCGUUUUGGUCGGGUAACAUUGUGUAGCUGGUGACUUCUGUACCUGGAGUUUGGACGCACUGGAUUUCUUGUCUCUCGUCUCUUGUUUUUUUUUUUUAAUUUUUUUUCGCUAGUUCAUAUGCAUAAGUAUGCAGAUAUCAAUUGAAUUUCAUCUGUUCAUUUGCAGUGUUGUCUUCCAAUCAUACUUUUGGCAACGGCAUUCAUGUAUAAUGGUGACUUCUAACUGGCUUUAGUGUUCUCUGUGUCUAACGUCUUGUUUCUGUGCAUUUCAUUUCUUCGAUGUUCUUCCAUAUUGCUUGGGCAGGAGUGUUCUUUGAUCUGUUUUUCCUGUGAAUUUCUAUCUAGUCGUUUAUAGAACUGUUCUCGGAUUUGUGGAUUUCGGAUUUGGUUAGCUGCUGAUCAAGAUCUUUCUGAAUUUGAUAAUUGUGGGAAUAUUUACAGUUUCACAGGGAAAAGAACUAGGCUAUGAACAUAUGGACAGGGUGCUAUUCUUGUUUGUUGGCUUGGAACUAUGAUUUUCUCUCUUCAGGUGUAGCGAAUUAUGUGGAUGAUGUGUUGGCUUCAUUUAAGAUCUUUUCUGGAAGUUUGGUUGAGCUUUUCUAAUUUGAUGAUCUGGUUCAGUGAUAGUUGUGUUGUUUGAACAUGGCUUUUCUUUCACGCAGCUGUUCUGUUGAUUGUUAGUGCGACAUUAUCUGGAUUAUGAAUGCCCGCUUUUUUGUUGGUGUUUGGAGGAUGAAUUCUACUUUUGCCCAGAUCUGAAGAAACUAAGAACUCUCUGAAUCCUUGCUUUUCCUGAAAAUUCUCCUAUUCUGUACUAUUGUUAUUCCUGGAGAAAUUUAGGUUUGCUUGUUUUUGCUUGGCUUGCAGUGUAUUUGGGAGAUUGGGGAAUUAUAGAUCAGAAGAAUAUUCUGCAAGACGGGAGGAUCAUAUAUCUAAUUCCAUAAAAGCAAUCUGAUUCUCUUUACAUUUUAUUUCCUUGAUCAUUUAACUAAAUAUUAUAAAGCAUGCAUUAUGAAUUAAAACGUAGUUUAUAUUCUAUGCAGCAUUGUAGCCGGGUUGUUGAGCACGAUGCAUACAGUGGAUGGAAUCUAGUUUCCUAAAACAGUUUUAAAUAUUAUAAAGCAUGCAUUAUGAAUUAAAACGUAGUUUAUAUUCUAUGCAGCAUUGUAGCCGGGUUGUUGAGCACGAUGCAUACAGUGGAUGGAAUCUAGUUUCCUAAAACAGUUUUUCCAAACUCCUUUCCUUUUUGUUCAUUCCAACCUACUGUGCUAGCAGCAUUUGAAAGUCUUCGGUUUCCUGUGCAGUAUUGUCCGCUCAUGGGUGUUGAGUGCAUCCUGGUGAUAUGCUUUUGCACUUGUCUGGUUCAUUUGUUUAAUUUUGUUUUUUUUUUUUUAAUUUCAAAUUUGCUACUUUGUGUUGUUUUCUUUGUUAUUCUCUCCUGCUUGGAAAUCGGUUUUUGUUUCUCUUUUCCUUAGGAACCAAUUGAACGGUAUGGGAUUGCACCAAGACUGUGUUCAAUAUUCUGAGAUUGAUAUGUCCUUGUAUUAUUCUUUUUUCUUUCUGCCCCCUAAAUAUUAUAUAAAUAACUUGAUUAUAUAGUCAUUUCACGUUGUUUAUGACCUCCAAUGCUUUUCAUUGGUUGCAGCAAUUUAAAGUUUUGGAUUAGAAGAUAUGAUUUGGAAAAGAAGCUUUGCAACAAUAAUAGAGGCUCAUGAUCUUGGAUUAAACCUGUCUUCUCUAUUGAAUUUUUCUGCCAUAUUUAUUUUCUAGCAUUAAUGGUUCAUUCCAAGUUCAAUUUGAACCUGUUUUCUUGCAGUGUUAUGUUCGUUGAGUUGGUUGAGUAACAUUGUCCGUCUAAUCCGAGUUAGAUGUGGAGUUGGUGACUUCUACUUGGAGUUUGGAUGCCCUAGAUCUUUUCUCUUGUCUCUUCUAAUUUCUUCCCAUGUAUUUAGUAUGAACAUGACAAUUCCUGUUCCUUUGCAGUGUUUGUCUUCCAGUCAAUACUUUUGACUACCAUAUUCUUAUGGUGACUUCUAGCUCGGUAUAGUAGUUUGUGUUUUGUUUUUCAUGAUUUUGACCGUUUGCUUUGAGAAACCUGUUGUUCCCUCAUCCUACUUGUGGACACACUUUCAAGAUUGGAGAGUAAGCGUUUAAUGAGCUCUUAUUGGUCAUGGUUUAUCAUAUAUGCUGACUGUAUAUUAUAUAUACUCGAUUUUGCUUUUUAUCUCAGCAAUAUAUUUGGCCGAGCACAUAAAAGAUUGGAUUCGAUAACGUGAAUUGUAUAGUUGUUUGUGCUUCCAGCCAUCUCUGAGCUGAAUCACACUGUGCAUUGGUUGUGGGCGUUAUUAGUUCUCAGUCUCACUAAUAACAAUAAGAGGAUUUGAUUUUAGUUCAACAUUUUUGGUGGUGUUUUCUCUUUGGACGAGGUAUUGGAAUUGAAUCGUGAACAUGCUUUGUGCAGUUAAAUGACCGAGUGUAUUGGAGAUUAAUUUGGGGGGUUCAGGAGCAAGAUUUUGUCUACUAUAGUUUUCCCACCUCAACUUUGCCAUUUGUUCUCACGACGUGUUUUGGUUUGUGGUUUGAUCUGGUCUUCCAUCAGUUUGACAAGCUAUUUCUUUUGUUUAUCUUCAGCUUUACGUGUGGUUUGAUCUGGUCUUCCAUCAGUUUGACAAGCUAUUUCUUUUGUUUAUCUUCAGCUUUACGUGUUUGCCGUAAUUUGGCACACUACCCAUAAUUGGAGAAUUUUGCUUGAACGCUGCGAGGGGUCUGAAUUAUGUUGAAACUGUGUUGGAUUGUUGUGCUGGCCUUAAAACUCUUCUUCAUUCUGUUAUUAGGUUUUAACUUGUCUUGAUUUUACCUUACUACUAAGGAAAACUUCUUGAUUUCACUUUCUAUUAGGGAAAUCGCAACUAUGAUUUUGCUUUGUGUGCGCAAAACUGGAAACUUCUUUUCGGUUCAUCUUUGUCACUCCAUGUUGAGUACCAUGUGUUUGGCAGCAUCUGGAAUUUGAUCAGGGAUUUGUGUUUGGACUCGAGUUUUGAAGGACCUAAGCAUAACUGGUGACUGGUUUUUUCUGGAUCUUCACCUUAAUCUCUUCCCUUUUUAUACGAUUCAGUGUCUUAUGUUUGGCAGGAGCUGUGAUUUGCAAUUGGACUUUCUAUGGGUUUUAACCUUCAACCUAAACAUCACUUUGGAGUACUGAAAGAUUUAAGUAUAAUUGGGACUGGUUUUUAAAGCUGCUGCUGCUUUGUUUGGAUUCAAGUAUAAUUGGGACAAAAGCUGCUGCUGCUUUGUUUGGAUUUUCAAAAUUUUUCUCUUUUGUCUGGCAAGAUAAGGAAUUUGUAAUUGGACUUGGGUGUUAAGGACGCAAGUAUAACUGAUGACUUAUAGCUGGUUAUUAAAUUUAUUUGUUUGUGGACUUUCACCAUGAUGAUCUCUUCCAUUCUUCUAUGAUUCAGUGUCUUAUGUUUGGCAGGAUCUGGGGUUCAAUCUGGAGUAUUUCUUCUACGGUUCAGUGUCUUAUGUUUGGCAGGAUCUGGGGUUCAAUCUGGAGUAUCGUAGGAUUUAAAGUAUAACCGGGACUGGUUUUUAAAGCUUCUACUUAAUUUUUCUCUUCCGUAUUUCUAUGCUUGGCUUUCACAUUCAGCAGGUUUAGGGAUUCAUAAUUCAAUUGGAAUUUUCUUCUUCCGUUCUUAUGCGUUUGGCUAAUAUAUUCAGCAGGUUUAGGUGUUGAAGGAUCUAAGUGUAACUGGUUACUUCUAAUUGGUUAAAAACAUUUAAAAGUUUUCACCUCUCUCUUUCGUUCUUCUAUGGGUUCAGUGUGUCUUAUGUUUAUCUGGGAUUUGCAGGAGUUGAAUAUAACUGGGCCGGGUUUUUAAAGCUUCUGUUUGGAUCUAUUUUAAAAGCUUUUUCUUUCUUUGGAUUUUGGAUGACUUUUCUCUUUCGCUCUUCUACAUUUGGCUCUCAUAUAUUCAGCAGGGUUCGGUAAUUGGACUUUGGUCUUGAAGGACCUAAGUAUAACUGGUGACUUCUAACUUGUCAUUAUAUUUUUUCUGUAUUUUCACCCUAACCUAGUAAUCUUCUCCAUUCUUCUAGUUAUAUCUGGCAGGAGCCGGGAUUUGCAUUUGGAUUUUAAAUGUUGAACUCAACAUCUCUUUCGACUUUCUAUGGAUAAAUAAUCAGCUUUCCAUCUCGCUUCAGUACCACACACACCAAAAAAAAGAACACACUACAACCACUCACGUCUAUUCUACUGUUCUACAUCUGUGGUUCCCUUUUCUGCUUAUUGUGGAGCGCCCCUCUUCGUCUGGAUUACUGUUGCAUUUAUUUUGAAUGUAGGAUCUUAAGGUGGUCGGAGUAUCCGGUUAGACAUGGUUAUUUGUUACGUGCUAAUUAUAUGCUUAUUUGUUACAUGGUUAUUUUGAAUGCACUAUUCAAUUCUUUAUGUGAUUAAAUUAAUUGAAUUCUUUGUGAAAACACCUCUCAAAUUUCAUAAUGUAGGUUAGCACAGUAAGUAACUGAAGCUUGAGAUGGAAAUGAUGCUUUUAUUUAUCUAUAUUAAUUUUCUUCCUUGGGGGACUCUAUUGCCUCUUAACUCUGCAUGGAAUUUUGUUGUAGCCUCCUCGGGUGAAUUUUGGUGAGGGAAUGUUCUUGUUGCUAAGGAUUUGGAUAUUACCGUGGUAGCAAAGGGUUCAGGAAUUUUGUUAUUUGUUUACUUCAUGAUGAAUUAUGAAGUUUUCUUUAUUGAGGUUUACUAUCAUUUUGCGAACUUGCUAUCGUGCAGUUUGCGAACCCGAUUUUUGGCUGAUUUCUAUCCUGGGGCAGCAGAAGAUCAGGCUCGCAUUUCAGGAGUUGGUAGCUGUUUCUGAAAUCUGAACUUAUCUGAUGCCUUCUGUAUUUUUCUCUUGCUUGGGAGCAUUGUGGACUAAUUUCUAUGCAGUUUGAGUUAGUACUCUGGCAUGCGGAGAAAAGAGAUGUUGAGGGAAUGGUUGGGUUGAUUGGUGAUUCUACAACAGUUAUGGUGGUUUUUUUUUUCUCUGGAAGCAGGAUAAUCGGUUUUUUUUUUCAGUGGUCUGGUGAAGAUACUUUCCAUGUGCAAAUGUAGUGGUUUUCUGGAAUCAAUGGUUGGGUUGAUUGGUGAUUCUACAACAGUUAUGGUGGUUUUUUUUUCUCUGGAAGCAGGAUAAUCGGUUUUUUUUUUCCAGUGGUCUGGUGAAGAUACUUUCCAUGUGCAAAUGUAGUGGUUGCUGUAAUAAGCUAUGAUUCAAGUGCAUCCCUCAUCUUCUCUAGCAGAAGUAAAAGCAGAACGAUGUUUUUUAUGGUCUGCAUUUUCUGUCGCCCGUGCUUUCACUUUUGACUUGGAAAGCCGUUUCAUUUUGGAUUUGUUUAUAAAAUGUGUUUUAGUGUCCCUUGUAAGUAGCCCUUCUCUUUGUUUAUUCUUAACUUCUGACACACUACAGAACGGUUGGUGCUAUUGGUGGUUGUUACAAGUCAACUUGUAUGUCUUUGAAGUAGCAUGCUUGUGCAGUUAUCUCUCGCAGCUUUGCAGUAAAUUCUAUGUGUAUCUACUUUUCCAGUGAUUUUUUGGGAUUUGAAAUUUUAUUUGGAUUCUGGAUGGGUGGUAAAGUCGACAUGCAGUUUCUUAUGUGAUCUUUAGGCCAUUUUUAUAUGUUCUGGAUGGUUUCUUUUGCGGGGUGUGUGCUGGUCGAUGUGCAUUGUUUGAAUUUGAAUGGGGGUAUUAGGAAGGUAUUUCGGAGGCUCUGAUCAUGUGCUUAAAAUAGAAGGCCGCAAUGUACGUGUUGUGUUGGUUCCAACAGUAUACGAGUGGUAGAAUGGUUGUGUUGAUGUUUAUGCAUUGUUGUUCAACUAUUGUUUAUAGAAGAUUAUUGAUGGUUCAGUUAUGUUGCUUAGCUGCUUUGGUGUGUGUAUUAACAUAACUCCAUUAUUUUGUCGUCCUUGUGUAUAUGCAUGCUGAUCUAUUCAAAUGGUACAUAUCCUUGCACGCCGAACUUGAAAUCUGCUGUUUUGACCCAAGUUGCUAUUUGGAUUAUGUUCUUACCUAAUAAAAUGCGCCCGGGGGGUUAGCUUUUACAU